UUCAGCCACAGUAGAUGCCUCCUUGA
rnacentral:piRNA from 1 species